rnacentral:lncRNA from 13 species
GAUUAAUCAGUUUGAUCGCGUAAUACUAAUUACAGAGAAUCUUUGAUAAAAACUAAGUCUUCAUUUAAUGAUGGUAAAGACACGACAGUCGUCUCUCCCUGAUGGGAGGUCAGCUCCCACUCAGCCUUACGGGAGGUCAGCUCCCACUCACCCCGACGCGAGGUCAGCUCCCACUCACCCCGACGCGAGGUCAGCUCCCACUCAGCCCUACGGGAGGUCAGCUCCCACUCAGCCCGACGUGAGGUCAGCUCCCACUCAGCCCUACGGGAGGUCAGCUCCCACUCAGCCCGACGCGAGGUCAGCUCCCACUCACCCCGACGCGAGGUCAGCUCCCACUCAGCCCUACGGGAGGUCAGCUCCCACUCAGCCCUACGGGAGGUCAGCUCCCACNNNNNNNNNNAGAGAGAAAGAUGGAGAGGGCGGGAAUAAGAGAAAAAAAGAGAGAAAGAGACCAAGAGAUGAAGAAAGUAGAGAAAAAGAGAGGCAGGGAUAUAGCUCUGUCUGCACGUUGGUAAAGUGGUGUUAGCAGGUGACAGAUGGAGGCCUGGACACGGGGUUCUCACUCAGAUGAUCCUUUAUUACGCUUUAACAACUGUGAGCGAGCGCUGCUAAUUUCCUGCUGCCUGUGGCAAUAUCUUCCACUAACCCUCCUCCAUUCCAGGACACUGACUAGGGAAUCAAACUCAUACUGCCUGCAUUCCUAAAUAUCGUAAUUAACCCUCUGAGCUAAAGUUAUGUAGGGUCUAGGCAUCAGCUCUGGUUAACUCUCAUGGUUACUCAUCACAUGACCAGCUGAAAGGAUUGGUUGAUUUCUAUAGAAUGAAUGGUUCCAUAAAGAGCUUUUAUCAGUCCUCUCUCCCCCUCCACCCCUCCCUCUUCUCUAAAUGAAACAGCUUGAUUCCCUGAGCUCUAGUUGUCUGUGCGGCGGUGAAACUCUUUGCAGGUGUUUUACUAUGCUGCUGUGAGGAGGAACAGAACACAGGCGUGUGUGUGUGUGUGUGUGUGUGUGUGUGUGUGUGUGUGUGUGUGUGUGUGUGUGUGUAUGUGUGUGUGUGUGUGUGUGUGUGUGUGUAGGCUCUCAAUAGGCUUUAUUUCUGAAUUCCCACAGCUGUCAUCAACCAAAGGAAUAAAUAAUGAUCCUCCCUUCCUCUCUCUCCCUCCAUCUCUCUGACUUUUCUCCAUACCAUCCGUCUCCUCUUUAUCCUCUCUCUCUCCCUCUCUCUCUCACUCUCUCUUUCUCUCCCCCUCUCUCUCUCUCCCCCCCCCUCUCUCUCAUAUAACUUUAUUUAUUAUUUAGUCAAUCUGCAUCCCAAAUCAGUUUAAAAAGAGAGAGAGAGAGAGAGAGAGAGAAUGUUAAAAGUGAGGGGGAGCUGAAGAGUGCUGAGUGUGAGCUGAAGAGGCAGAGAGAGAGGGGGAGAGCCNNNNNNNNNNUCAGCUCCCACUCAGCCCUACGGGAGGUCAGCUCCUACUCGGCCCUACGGGAGGUCAGCUCCUACUCAGCCCUAUGGGAGGUCAGCUCCUACUCGGCCCAGUCCAUUUGGCAUUUCACUGUACUUGCCCAUGUGACAUUAAAACUUGAACUUUGAAACUCAAUGGUGGAACCAGCUUCACAUCUUCUCCAAAAAACAUCUGAAAUGUUACCUCUUCAAACACUGUCUUAAAUAAGACAUCUCAGUCAGUCUUCUUCUGUCCAUUUUUGCUUUCGUCUUUUCCUACUAGCUCUGACUUUGCUGAUAAAUUAUUUAAUGCGGAAGAAAAUGCAUUUACUACGACUGUGACAUGUGGUUGUCUCACCCAGCUAUGUUAAGAUGAAUGCACUAACUGCAAGUCACUCUGGAUAAGAGAGUCUGCUAAAUGACUGAACUACAAUUGCAAUAGAUCCAGACCUCAACACCAAACAUCACACCCAGACAGACCCACAACACAGAACCAAGCAGCUGAUCACAAUACUGACACCAAAAGACACCAAUCCCACCAAAUGAAACAAUGAAGCUUUAAUAAAGCCCAUUUGGAAUGUAGUUUGACCCUUUAUGUAAUAUGACGUUGCUUAUAAAUGAUUGAUGAGACAUCUAUGCUAUGCCUACAAAGACUAUGAAUUCUCUACAAAGCAUUUAUAAGUUGUUGUUUGUCUGAAGUGGGGUUCACAAGACAACAAACCUCAAUCUGUAGGGACUGUAGAGUGGUCCUGACUUCACCUUUGUCCAACAGACAGGAAAUAAUAAACAAUAAACGUCCUUUAGCUUGAACAAGAAACACCGGUGGUGUAGUCAGACAUCCCCUGACAGACCUGACCCUGGAAGUAACAUAGUUUGAUAUUCUAUUAUCCUGGUUGUUUUUCUAUCCUUUUGUGUCUGCAGCUCCAAAUGAUGCCGCAGUAAUCUGGUUUAACCACGGCUAUCUGGGAUCGAUCGGAUGGAGCUGCACUAAAACAUAUUUUUCAUCAGAUAGCUUGUUCUCCAUCAUCUUAGCAGGCAUAGCGUGAAAAAUAUGUUUGGAACAUCAAAUCGCAAAAUAAAAUGGCAGUAUCUAAUUGCAACACAUACUGUAUAGAAUCGUGAGAAUCCCAAAACAUAUCCUAUUGGCAGCUAAUCUUGAUAAUAUCGUAUUGUGAGGUCCCUAGAAAUUCCCAGCCCUAGAGGAGAGGGUUUAGAGAUAGUUAGGGAGAGGCGGGAGAUAGCGAAAGAGAGAGGGAGUGGUAGAGAGAGUGAAGACAUACUCCCUCAGCCACACAUGAGCACUCAUCCAAAGCGGAUCCUGACCCCGCAACACAAAAAUCCACUCAGAGAGGAGCCUGUCUAUCUUCACUGUGACAACACAACAGAGCCAUCCACAUACAUACAGCCUGUCUCCCACACACAGAUCCACACACACCCUGCCUCACCCCCUGCCUCAGGAAAAUAGACACGAGAGAAUAAAGGAGUUCACAGUAAAUCUAUAAGUGAUUUCCCAGACCUGGGUUCAAAUACUAUUUGCAAUCUUUCCAAAAAACUGAGUGUUUAGGUUUAGCCUGUCUGGAGUACCAGGUGGGCAGGGUUUGAACUAUUGAGACGUUUUAAUUGGUUCCAAUACAACAGGCAACCUCAAUCAAGCACAAAUGAUUUCAAAUAGUAUUUGAACCCAGGUCUGCCCCCUCCUCUUCCUCCUGAUUUUAUUUAGUUGUACAGAGUGUGCCCAUGAAUGGAAGCCAUCCGUCAGCCAUGAGCCCAGUGCUGGCUGCUGUUAUAAUGUGACAUCAAGGUGAACUCCAGCUAGCUCUGUCAGGAAUACGCCUAUUAAACGCCUAUUAAAAGAGAAAAGAGC